rnacentral:rRNA from 1 species
GACAGAGGAUGCAAGCGUUAUCCGGAAUGAUUGGGCGUAAAGCGUCUGUAGGUGGUUUAAUAAGUCAACUGUUAAAUCUUGAGGCUCAACCUCAAAAUCGCAGUCGAAACUAUUAGGCUAGAGUAUAGUAGGGGUAAAGGGAAUUUCCAGUGGAGCGGUGAAAUGCGUAGAGAUUGGAAAGAACACCGAUGGCGAAGGCACUUUACUGGGCUAUUACUAACACUCAGAGACGAAAGCUAGGGUAGCAAAUGGG